UCUCCUUCACUCUCCUUUUCCAUCUCCUCCUUGUACGGGGAUGGAUGAUCCCUAAGGUGAGUGUGGUGGGCG